rnacentral:rRNA from 1 species
CACUUCCGAGUCUAUGUUUUCAUAUACCCUUUAUAAUUGAAGUCGAUGAAUGUAUUAGGCUUUGGCCAAUAAAACAAUACAACUUUCAACAAUGGAUCUCUUGGUUCUCGCAUCGAUGAAGAACGCAGCGAAUUGCGAUAUGUAAUGUGAAUUGCAGAAUUCAGUGAAUCAUCGAAUCUUUGAACGCACCUUGCGCCCUUUGGUAUUCCGAAGGGCAUGCCUGUUUGAGUGUCAUUAAAUUCUCAACUUCAACACUUUUUUGUAUUGAAGCUUGGAUGUUGGAGGGUCUUGCGGGCAUAUAUUAAUGUCAGCUCCUCUUAAAUGCAUUAGCAGAACCUGUGUUCGGCUCUGGUUUGAUAAUCCUAUCUAUGCCAUUGCUGAAAUGUCAUUGUUCAGCUUCUAAUGGUCCAUUGGACUGUCUCUUCAGAGGCAUAUAUUUUGACUUGACCUCA